UAUCUCUCUCCUCAACCUUUUCCCUAUCUUAUUUUGCAAAUCACAAAACUAGGUGUCUAAAGCAAGGAUUGAAAGCAUCGAUUGAAGGCAACAUAACCUUCAAACUUCAAAGAUCCAGAAAGAAUUUGAGGGCUACGGUAUGAAUCAGAUUCUGAUCGUGUGAAAGGACCAGAGACGUUUGAUGGAGAUCACAAGAAACAAGCAUGGCUUCAAUGCAAAUAUGCAUCCUUGGUGGUUCACGGUGAAUGAGGUCUUAAGAGGCUUUGCUUGCAAACUAUAUGAUUGUCCCUUCUUCCUUUGAGACUUUGGGCAUAUCAUCCACCUGAACUUGAGGGAUGAACAUCUUCCAUAUAAGAAUUUUAUAGCCAAUGUAUUUAAUUUAAGACAACAAGAAAAAAAUGUUUUUGAAGAUAUCUGCUCAGUGUUGCCUAUGUUUGUCAGAUUGUUUUGGACAAUAACAUGCCAAAGAUACAAAGAGUUAUCAGUAAGAUUGAUGCCAUCAAUAAUGAUAGGACAUGAUAGGACAUGCUAUCAUGUUGCAUCUACAAACACAAAGGAAUUUUAUAAUUUGGUAGAUGUAUAUCUGGAUGUUGUUUUCUUUCCCAAAGGCAGUCACUUUCUAGAGUUGGUUGGUAUUUGAAACAACCUGUCUUCUUUCAUAGUUAAUUGUGUGUUACGGGCAGACAAUCCUAUGGAUAUUGUAGCAGCCUAAUCCAGAUUCCACUGGAAGCUUUGUUAUUUCUCAUGGUUGCAAUGAAGUGGCAGCCCAAGCAUGUAGUUUGGUUAACUUUGAGCAUAAAAGGGAUUUUUAUAAUUUGGUAGAUGUAUAUCUGGAUGCUGUUUUCUUUCCCAAAUGUGUGGAGGACAUUCAGAGUUUUCAACAAGAGGGUUGGCAUUAUGAGUUGAACAACCCUGAAGAAGAAAUAACUUAUAAAGUCUAGAAAUCACAAGGCAUGUUUCAGUGAUUAUAAUAACUCUCUCUACAAAGGAACUGAAUACAUCAUCUAUUGGAUAUCAGCCCACAUUAUCAGCUAAUCAGAUGAAAGUGGCAACUGAGUUUGAGUAUCAUGGAGGUAUGUCUUUCUAGGCAUUUGUUUAUCAAGCAUUAAUGAUGAAGAGUGCACGUGUAGCUAAGGAAGUCGAUCACAAGGCCCGAAAGAAAGCAAGAAAGGCUUUGGUGGUCACGAUCUCGAACAACGAGAGGUUGUGGUAAAAUUCCCACCCUAUCACAAACCCGAUCCCGAUGAGUCUACUGUUUCGUAGGAGAUGACGAGUGAGGAUGGUGGUAUGUGGAAGUAAGCAACAACAGCAGCGGCUGUGGCACCAGAGACAAAUGCCGAUGAACCAAAUUUCCCCCGCCGCCUCAAUAGAACGUGAUAUCCAAACUCGAUGCAUCCAAAUUUGAUGCUAAGGAGGGGCAGGGAAAAGAGACAACACUGUAAGUCUGUAAAAAUUUAGUUUCCAAAUUGUAGUAUAUGUCUUAACUCUUUUGAUUUGCAUGAUAACCCUCACAGUGUAUAUACUUUGCAUUCUCUCUAAUUAUUGUUGUAGUUAUAAUCUAUUAAUCAGAUACUUUUAUUGUAGUUUAAUUUCGGGUGAUUGUUUUCGAUAAAAGAUUUCGAAUCUAUUUUUUCGUCUUUUUAUUUUAUUUUUUUAAUUUUUAUAGUUGAACAACAAAAAAGUGAUACUACAUGUCAUAUAAAGAAUUCCGGAAAAAAUUAUGAAGUUUGGGACAAAAAAUGACAUACGAACAUCACAAUCAAGUGAGCCAACCAAGUCAGCAGGCUUUUUUCCGUAUACGAUGAUUUUGGUAGUUUGCUCAACUCUAGAACUUUUAGUAAUAAUCACCCUUUAUGUACAUUAUGCUAGACAUGCGACAUUAGUGACUCAAAAGGAAUUACCUGUUUCGUAAUCUACUUAUCUAUUUAUACUAUCAUCUUUCUAAUAGCGAUCUAUUGGGAUGGAGGAGAAGUCUGCCACAUCUCACCCUUCCCAGCCCUACUUUAUUAGCAAGACAUUACUAAGAAUGUUGUUUGUUUUUAUUUUGCUAUUUGAUCGCGCUAUGCUGUUUUUCUUUUAAGCCAACAAAAACUGAAAAGCUCAAUAGGGCAGUUGAUCUCAUGCCUGGGUUGUUGAGCAUGAAGAAUCCAAUAAAAUGAAUGCUAGAAACAUUAGCAUGGUUAUCGCCCCAACAUGACUCAGGUAAAUCUUUUUAAAUAUUCAUAUUAAUGUCCACAAUCCUUAUCACCUACUAAAACCAAGGUAAGAUUUUCGUGGAGUUAAUGCAGAGAGCCAAAUGUUAAUAAGUCAACUCCAUAUAAUUCUUCAGGUAGAAAAAUGGGCGGGUUGGGUCACUGGUUAGACGGGUAUAUUUUUCAUACCAAAUGGCUGCCAAUAGGGAUGAGUGUGGUACUGGUACCGGUACCGAAAAAUGUUCGGUAUUGUACCGACACAGGACCGGUGUGGUUCUGGUAUUUGAAGGCAAAAUUCGGUAUUUUUCCGGUGCCGAACUGAAGGUACCGAUACCGACAAGGCCAAAAACUGGGUACCGAAUACAAAUCCAAAAAAUUCGGUACACGUAAUUUGGUACCCAGUACCAAAUGCUCAUCCCUAGCUGUCAGUCCAACACUUUUUUGUCCAUUCUUCUAAUUUGUUACUUAGUUUGUACACAUAUCUUCAUAAUAAUCUGUAUAAUUUUGUCUUUAAUGUUAGUCUAUACCCAAGAAGCUUGCAGAUAUGUGGUUGUGCAUAUCAAAAAUAUUCAAGGACAUAAUGGGUUAUGCAUUUGAGGAAUAAUCAUGCGACUGGUAAUUUGAGCCUAAUCCAGAUUCCACUGGAAGCUUUGUUAUUUCUCAUGGUUGCACUGAAGUGGCAGCCCAAGCAUGUAGUUUGGUUGACUUUGAGCAUAAAAGGUUCUUUGGUGAGCUUAAAUGAAAGCUUUCGAAGAUGUCUGAUGUAAAAAACUGCAUUUUGUUCCUGAUGCUCAUGAACCUAUGAUGAGAUUCAAGUGAUAUUGGAUUUCAAUAUACUUUAAGUGCAUAUCUAUAUAUGUGUGUCAGGUUAUUUGUUUGGAGAGGGAAGAUCCCGACACCAAUAGCUCCAGGGAACAGGGGAUUCAGUGUGGCAGGAGCCAUCUAUAUGGCUAAAAGCUCCAAGGAGUUCAUGGAACGCGAGGAACCGUAAAGUCUUUUCAUGAAAGGAACACUUUGAUUUAUAUAGUGGUGGAAGAGAUGAAGGAAGAAUUGUUUGAAUGAGUAAAACAUAUAUGGCGAAAGGCACACAGGUGACAUGAAAUGAAUUGCCAAGAUUUGAUUUCGCAAAGAUUUGAUUACUUUGUAUGUAGUAUGUUUGUUUGCUGUAGGGUGUUGCUUUACGGUCUGUACUUAGGACUGAUAUAGCAUCUUGCUGUUUUGUCUAUUUUGGUUAU
rnacentral:lncRNA from 1 species